AAUAUAUAUAUAUUUGAUAUUUCUAAGGAUUUUAGAGAUUUUAAAAACGCACAGAAAAUUUUUGUAUUCAUGUACUCAUGACAGAAGAUAUGUGAUAAAAAAUUAAAUAUAGAUUUUUGUGUGAAUUAUCGUAAGAAAUAUCUCUAAAAAAAAUGACAACAUGAGAAAAAGCGAUAAAAAUUUUCCAAGAAAUUGAGCUCAUUUCCAAAAAUUAUCGGAAAUCUUCCUAUUAACUAGAUGAAAGAAGAAUUAAUACCAAAAUAUGAAAAUAUUGAAAUAAUAAUGUGGUAAGUAUCUAAAUUAUAAAUUUUUCUAAUAUUUCGUGAAUUUAACAAAUUUUUAGUGCUGCAAAGGACAAUAGCUAUAAAAAGAGAGAAAUAAGUGAAUAAUAAGUAGACAUAAGUAUUUCUAGAAUUAAAAGAACUGUUGAAAAAUAUUUACGUCCACAAAACAACAGAUCUAAAAAGGUAAGUAUAAUAUAUAAAAUAUAUACUCCUAUUAUCCAUAUUUCUCCAUCCUGUAUAUUCCUGUCUUCUUAUACUCCUAUUAUCCAUAUUCCUUAAUUCUGAAUUUUCCUAUAUUCCUAUUAUCCAUAUUCCUUAAUUCUGAACAUUCCUGUGAUCCUAUACUCAUUAUCCAUAUACCUUAAUCCUGAAUAUUCCCGUCUUUUUAUAUUCCUAUUAUCCACAUUCCUUAAUUCCGAAUAUUCCUAUGUUUCUAUAUUCCUAUUAUCCAUAUUCCUUUCUAAAUUUUCCUGGGUUCCUAUAUUCCUAUUAUACAUAUUCCUUAAUCCUGCAUAUUCCUGUCUUCCUAUAAUCCUGUUAUCCAUAUUCCUUAAUCCUGUAUAUCCUGCAUUCCUAUAUUCCCUUAGAAU